rnacentral:rRNA from 1 species
GUCUACGGGAGGCAGCAGUGAGGGAUAUUGGUCAAUGGGGGAAACCCUGAUGGUGCGACGCCGCGUGGGGGAAUGAAGGUCUUCGGAUUGUAAACCCCUGUCAUGUGGGAGCAAAUUAAAAAGAUAGUACCACAAGAGGAAGAGACGGCUAACUCUGUGCCAGCAGCCGCGGUAAUACAGAGGUCUCAAGCGUUGUUCGGAAUCACUGGGCGUAAAGCGUGCGUAGGCUGUUUCGUAAGUCGUGUGUGAAAGGCGCGGGCUCAACCCGCGGACGGCACAUGAUACUGCGAGACUAGAGUAAUGGG